GACGAACGCUGGCGGCGUGCUUAACACAUGCAAGUCGAACGGAAAGGCCCUGCUUGCAGGGUCCUCGAGUGGCGAACGGGUGAGUAACACGUGGGUGAUCUGCCCUGCACUUCGGGAUAAGCCUGGGAAACUGGGUCUAAUACCGGAUAGGAGCCAUUUUUAGUGUGAUGGUUGGAAAGUUUUUUCGGUGUAGGAUGAGCUCGCGGCCUAUCAGCUUGUUGGUGGGGUAAUGGCCUACCAAGGCGGCGACGGGUAGCCGGCCUGAGAGGGUGGACGGCCACAUUGGGACUGAGAUACGGCCCAGACUCCUACGGGAGGCAGCAGUGGGGAAGAUUGCACAAUGGGCGCAAGCCUGAUGCAGCGACGCCGCGUGGGGGAUGACGGCCUUCGGGUUGGAAACUCCUUUCGCUAGGGACGAAGCUUUUUGUGACGGUACCUAGAUAAGAAGCACCGGCUAACUACGUG
rnacentral:rRNA from 1 species